UUAAAAAAAAAAAUAAAAAUAAAAAGAGAAAGAAGGAAAGGAAAGGGAAAGCUUAUAAGAGCAGGAGGGAUUUUGAUUUUUUUUUUUUUUCUUUUUCUUUUCUAU
rnacentral:ribozyme from 1 species